rnacentral:rRNA from 1 species
AUUGAACGCUGGCGGCAGGCCUAACACAUGCAAGUCGAGCGAGCGGCGGACGGGUGAGUAAUGCCUGGGAAUUGCCCAGUCGAGGGGGAUAACAGUUGGAAACGACUGCUAAUACCGCAUACGAUUGGAUUGCCCAGGUGGGAUUAGCUAGUUGGUGAGGUAAUGGCUCACCAAGGCGACGAUCCCUAGCUGGUCUGAGAGGAUGAUCAGCCACACUGGUACUGAGAAACGGUCCAGACUCCUACGGGAGGCAGCAGUGGGGAAUAUUGCACAAUGGGGGAAACCCUGAUGCAGCCAUGCCGCGUGUCUGAAGCAGGCCUUCGGGUUGUAAAACACGUUUAGCGGGGAGGCGUUACGCGCAGAAGAAGCACCGGCUAACUCCGUGCCAGCAGCCGCGGUAAUUC